GCCAAAGUAGCUUAGCUGGGAAAGUGUUAGACUGAAGAUCUAAAGGUCCCUGGUUUGAUCCUGGGCUUUGGCU